AUUGAACGCUGGCGGCAGGCCUAACACAUGCAAGUCGAGCGGCAGCGGGAAAGUAGCUUGCUACUUCUGCCGGCGAGCGGCGGACGGGUGAGUAAUGCCUGGGGAUCUGCCCAAUCGAGGGGGAUAACUACUGGAAACGGUAGCUAAUACCGCAUACGCCCUACGGGGGAAAGCAGGGGACCUUCGGGCCUUGCGCGAUUGGAUGAACCCAGGUGGGAUUAGCUAGUUGGUGAGGUAAUGGCUCACCAAGGCGACGAUCCCUAGCUGGUCUGAGAGGAUGAUCAGCCACACUGGAACUGAGACACGGUCCAGACUCCUACGGGAGGCAGCAGUGGGGAAUAUUGCACAAUGGGGGAAACCCUGAUGCAGCCAUGCCGCGUGUGUGAAGAAGGCCUUCGGGUUGUAAAGCACUUUCAGCGAGGAGGAAAGGUUGGUAGCUAAUAACUGCCAGCUGUGACGUUACUCGCAGAAGAAGCACCGGCUAACUCCGUGCCAGCAGCCGCAGUAA
rnacentral:rRNA from 1 species